GCGGAAGGAUCAUUAGUGAAUAUAGGACGUCCAACUUAACUUGGAGUCCGAACUCUCACUUUCUAACCCUGUGCACUUGUUUGGGAUAGUAACUCUCGCAAGAGAGCGAACUCCUAUUCACUUAUAAACACAAAGUCUAUGAAUGUAUUAAAUUUUAUAACAAAAUAAAACUUUCAACAACGGAUCUCUUGGCUCUCGCAUCGAUGAAGAACGCAGCGAAAUGCGAUAAGUAAUGUGAAUUGCAGAAUUCAGUGAAUCAUCGAAUCUUUGAACGCACCUUGCGCUCCAUGGUAUUCCGUGGAGCAUGCCUGUUUGAGUGUCAUGAAUACUUCAACCCUCCUCUUUCUUAAUGAUUGAAGAGGUGUUUGGUUUCUGAGCGCUGCUGGCCUUUACGGUCUAGCUCGUUCGUAAUGCAUUAGCAUCCGCAAUCGAACUUCGGAUUGACUUGGCGUAAUAGACUAUUCGCUGAGGAAUUCUAGUCUUCGGACUAGAGCCGGGUUGGGUUAAAGGAAGCUUCUAAUCAGAAUGUCUACAUUUUAAGAUUAGAUCUCAAAUCAGGUAGGACUACCCGCUGAACUUAAGCAUAUCAAUAAGCGGGAGGAAAGGAACAUUAGUGAAUAUAGGACGUCAACUUAACUUGGAGUCCGAACUCUCACUUUCUAACCCUGUGCACUUGUUUGGGGAUAGUAACUCUCGCAAGAGAGCGAACUCCUAUUCACUUAU
rnacentral:rRNA from 1 species